ensembl:lncRNA
GGCCAAUCCAUGACUGCUAGUGAUUCAUUGUGUGUUUUUCUAUGCAGGCAUGCUUUUACUGCACUUGCAUCACUGUCAUCAUGCUGGAGAAGUUGGUAUUGCAAAGUGGAUUACAAUCAAUGACACUUUCCUUGUGUGACACCUCUGCCUUUUCUCCCUGUUUCCCUUACUUCAGAAUGUCUUCUUGACAGCCACCCUUCCACUGACACUAUUUUUUUGAGUCUUCAGUGAACAGUAGAUAGCAGUAGAUCAGCUGAAGGGUCAGAUGUAUUUCUCGUGUCAGGUCUUUGCUUAAGGACAUGAAUUUCAGAUACAGUUUAUCUGCUAUAGAUAGUUUUUCAUCCAGUUCCCUGAAAAUUUUAAAGACAUACUGCACACCAUGCUGAGAUGUACCAAGUCAAUACUAUUUUAUGCCUGUCAAAUGAUUUUGUUUGUUGCAUUUUUCAUUGAUUCAACUAAAGAAAUGGGGAAAUGAAUCAAGACACAAUUCAUCCUGUCAAAGAAAAGAACCCCAACCCCUCCCAAAAAACAAAAUAAGAAACUAUUCCUCUGAAAAUGGUCAGUUAAAACAUUGAAAAAGCAGCCAUAGCCCAAAGAAAACCUUUGGAAGAGAAAGUCUCAAGAAAGUCUUGAGAAAAAAUUAUACAAAACCUUUUUUUGGUAUAAAAAAAAAAAAAACAAUAACAAAGGGCAUCUUAUGCUUCGGAUCACAUUUGAGUAGUGCAUUUCUGUUAAAUUCUCCACACUGUUGUGUUGCGCACAUUGAUUUUAAAGCAAUUUCUGUAUUUAUGUAUUUUUUCUGUCUAACAUCACUACUUUUUGAUUCAUGCUCCUCUCUACUGGACAUCUGCCUCCUGUCACUGCAUCAAUUCUUCCUCUCCAUCUAUUUUUGUGGGCUUGGAACAUCAUGUCAUACACAGUAUUACAGCUACAUUACAGCCUGAUUGACCAUUUUUUAUCCUGCUGCGAUCAAAUUAAUCUGGACGGGUCUGAAACAAUGAAUGAUAAUAUAACAAUCUGGGAGCUGGCCACUUGUUCCAA